UUACGGCCACAUCACGUUUAAACACCAGUUCCCGUACGAUCCCCGAAAUUAAGCAAAUUAAAACCAGAUCAGUACCUAGAUGGGUGGCCGCUUGGGAAUACCAGGUGUCGGAA